CUAGUUACAUCACUGAAGAGAGGUCAUGAUCACAAAGGUGAUUUUUCCUGGGGAGAGGCUUAUCUAUUGCAUUCUGAGUAUGCUGAACCCUGUCCUUUAGUGCAGGAAGCCCAAUGGCAUAAUUUGUAGUAGAUGGACAUUGUCUUUGGGCUCACUCCUG
rnacentral:snRNA from 1 species